GAGCAUUUUCAUUUGCAGCAUGGUGGAGGCUAUAUUAUUGCUCACUACCUUUACUCUAUCUGUUCUGCUAUCACACUGGCUAUGGCCUCAGAACUCUCCCCUCUACAAAGUACAGCCAGGCCACUACACACAACCUCUUACUAAGAUCUAUAGUACCUGUACAUAAAUAGAACCUCCACCAUGCUGCAAAUGAAAAUGCUCUCAA
rnacentral:misc_RNA from 1 species